rnacentral:rRNA from 1 species
UACGUAGGGUCCGAGCGUUGUCCGGAUUUAUUGGGCGUAAAGAGCUCGUAGGCGGUUCCGUAAGUCAGAUGUGAAAACUCAGGGCUCAACCCGGAGACGCCAUCUGAUACUGCGGUGACUGGAGUCUGGUAGGGGAACACGGAAUUCCUGGUGUAGCGGUGAAAUGCGCAGAUAUCAGGAGGAACACCGAUGGCGAAGGCAGUGUUCUGGGCCAGUACUGACGCUGAGGAGCGAAAGCGUGGGGAGCAAACAGGAUUAGAUACCCUGGUAGUCCACGCCGUAAACGUUGGGCACUAGGUGUGGGUCCUCAUCAACGGGAUCCGUGCCGUAGCUAACGCAUUAAGUGCCCCGCCUGGGGAGUACGGCCGCAAGGCUAAA